UUUCCGUAGGUGAACCUGCGGAAGGAUCAUUCAUAAUAAGUGUUUUGUGGCACUUUUUUAAAUCCAUAUCCACCUCGUGUGCAAUGUCAGGGUUGAUUUUUCUCUCGAGAGGAUCAACCCCAAACAUCAACUAUAUCUCAACUCUUUGUCUGAAAAAUAUUAUGAAUAAAACAAUUCAAAAUACAACUUUCAACAACGGAUCUCUUGGCUCUC
rnacentral:misc_RNA from 1 species